AGGACGAACGCUGGCGGCGUGCUUAACACAUGCAAGUCGAGCGGAAAGGCCUUUCGGGGUACUCGAGCGGCGAACGGGUGAGUAACACGUGAGUAAUCUGCCCAUCGCUUCAGGAUAGCCAUCGGAAACGGUGAUUAAUACUGGAUAUGACACUCCUUCGCAUGUUGGGGUGUGGAAAGUUUUUUCGGCGGUGGAUGUGCUCGCGGCCUAUCAGCUUGUUGGUGGGGUAAUGGCCUACCAAGGCUUUGACGGGUAGCCGGCCUGAGAGGGUGACCGGCCACGACUGGGACUGAGACACGGCCCAGACUCCUACGGGAGGCAGCAGUGGGGAAUAUUGGACAAGUGGGCGGAAGCCUGAUCCAGCAACGCCGCGUGAGGAUGACGGCCUUCGGGUUGUAAACCGUCUUUCAGCACAGACGAAGUUUGUCGUUUUUUGGUGUAAGUGACGUAUGUGCAGAGAAGGACCGCCAACGUACGUCGCCAAGCACGCCCGA
rnacentral:rRNA from 1 species